GACGAACGCUGGCGGCGUGCUUAACACAUGCAAGUCGAACGGUAAGGCCCUUCGGGGUACACGAGUGGCGAACGGGUGAGUAACACGUGGGUGAUCUGCCCUGCACUUCGGGAUAAGCCUGGGAAACUGGGUCUAAUACCGGUUAGGACCCUGGGAUGCAUGUCCUGGGGUGGAAAGCUUUUGCGGGGUGGGAUGGGCCCGCGGCCUAUCGGCUUGUUGGUGGGGUGAUGGCCUACCAAGGCGACGACGGGUAGCCGGCCUGAGAGGGUGACCGGGCCCAAGGGGACUGAGAGACGGCCCAGAGUCCUACGGGAGGCAGGAGUGGGGAAUAUUGCACAGUGGGCGCAAGCCGGACGCAGCGACGCCGCGUGAGGGAUGACGGCCUUCGGGUUGUAAACCUCUUUCAGCACCGACGAAGCGCAAGUGACGGUAGGUGCAGAAGAAGGACCGGCCAACUACGUGCCAGCCGCCGCCGUAA
rnacentral:rRNA from 1 species